GUGUGUGUGUGUGUGUGUGUAUGCGUGAGUGUGUGUGUGUUCUGAUGUUGGUCGUAGGUGAGGCUGCUCACACGGUACCCAUCACCCUUCAUUUACAGAACUCCCUGGAGCCCAGCGGGUCGUGUGUGAGUUUAGUGUGUGUGAGAGAUGCAGUAAUGAGACGCAGCAGAGCUGCCUGCUAAACCUGUUACAGCACACACAUGAGGAGCACAGAGCUCGACCGCCAUCAGUGAUCAAGGCCACAUCACACACACUGCUGCGCUCAGCUCCUCUGGGCCGGGACAUUCUCACACACGCUAGCGUUGCAUUCAGCUUGUUCUGUGUAAAUGAAAUUCUGUGCUCUUGUUUUCUGAACUACACAGCAGACAUCCUUUCAUGCUCUUGUCAUCAGUCAGAAUGUGCUGCUGCUCAGAUGAACGUCUCACUGACGGAGGAUCACUGAGUCCGAGUUUGUGUUACAGGACGAGACAUCAGAGCUGUUCAACACACACCAUCAGGGAUUGAAGCCUUUCAGCGAAAAGUUGUUUUGUGAAGAUUCGGUGCAGUUGGUGUGUCAAUAAGAAUACUUUCCCCGAAAACACAGAAA